GGUUCCAUGGUGCAAUGGAAAGCAUACCUGCCUGAAACGCAGGAGAUCUACGUUCGAUUCGUAGUGGGACCA
rnacentral:tRNA from 1 species